CCUCGUGUGAAAAUUGUGCACACAUCGACCAAAUAUGAAGGACAAGUCUACAUUCCUGAAAUCAAUUACCUUCUUAUGAUUGCUUGUGUAGCAGUUACUCUUGGUUUCAGAAGUACUACGAAUAUUGGCAAUGCAUAUGGGAUUGCUGUGGUGUUUGUAAUGACUCUCACAUCAGCCUUUCUCGUAUUGAUCAUGCUCAUGAUUUGGAAAACAAACAUUCUCCUUGUAAUUGCCUAUGUGCUAACCAUUGGCGUGGUGGAGCUUGUGUAUUUAAGUUCGGUCCUCUACAAAUUUGAUCAAGGAGGAUAUUUACCGUUAGCCUUUGCUGCAGUUCUGAUGACUGUAAUGUUUGUCUGGAAUGAUGUGUACCGAAGAAAGUACUAUUAUGAGCUCGAAAACAAGUUUUCUCCAGAUAAGCUGAAGGAGAUUGCUGCUGAGACCAAUUUUAGUAGACUUCCGGGACUUGCCAUGUUCUACUCUGAGCUUGUUCAGGGUAUCCCUCCCAUCUUCAAGCAUUAUGUGGCAAAUGUGCCUGCACUUCACUCUGUACUUGUUUUUGUUUCCAUCAAAUCACUUCCGAUUGGAAAGGUUCCAGUGGAAGAACGAUUCCUUUUCCGCAAAGUAGAACCAAUGGAGCUCAACGUUUUUCGUUGUGUAGCACGAUAUGGAUACACCGAUGUUCGCAAUGAGAAUGAGCCCUUUGAGAGAAUGCUGAUUGAAAAAUUGACGGAGUUCGUCAGAGAUGAUUACUGUUUAAGGCAGGCAAUUCUUAGUAAAGGUGAAACUGUCAAUGAUCAAGAAUUGGAUGAUGGACAAGUUGAUGAAAAUAGAAACACAAUGCAAGAAGAUUUAGAGGAUGUGGAUAACCAGUUGGAUAUGAUCGACAAAGCAUGGCGUGCUGGAGUUGUUCACUUGAUCGGUGAGAACGAUGUGGUUGCAGGCAAAGGAUCAAAUAUUGCGAAAAGAAUUUUGAUAGAUUAUGCAUACAAUUUCUUGAAAAGAAACUUAAGACAAAGUGAGAAGGUGUUUGAUAUUCCUCAGAAGCGCAUGCUCAAAGUGGGUAUGACUUACGAGCUUUAGGAAAUGAAAUAAAUUAAGGUGGGACAUGGAUCAACAUGAGAGUCAUAGAAAUGAAAAGACAGUUGCUAAGUACAGCUAAACAGGAAGAUAAGCAACGGAUUCCUGCUAUCUAGUCUUAAUAUUGCUAAUUGAUGCAUCAUUUUUUCUCUGCAAGUAGUACCAUUGUAUAUGCUAGGAAAUGAAAUAAAUUAAG
rnacentral:misc_RNA from 1 species